GUACGGCCGCAAGGUUAAAACUCAAAUGAAUUGACGGGGGCCCGCACAAGCGGUGGAGCAUGUGGUUUAAUUCGAUGCAACGCGAAGAACCUUACCUGGUCUUGACAUCCACGGAAGUUUUCAGAGAUGAGAAUGUGCCUUCGGGAACCGUGAGACAGGUGCUGCAUGGCUGUCGUCAGCUCGUGUUGUGAAAUGUUGGGUUAAGUCCCGCAACGAGCGCAACCCUUAUCCUUUGUUGCCAGCGGUCCGGCCGGGAACUCAAAGGAGACUGCCAGUGAUAAACUGGAGGAAGGUGGGGAUGACGUCAAGUCAUCAUGGCCCUUACGACCAGGGCUACACACGUGCUACAAUGGCGCAUACAAAGAGAAGCGACCUCGCGAGAGCAAGCGGACCUCAUAAAGUGCGUCGUAGUCC
rnacentral:rRNA from 1 species